AUUGAACGCUGGCGGCAUGCUUUACACAUGCAAGUCGGACGGCAGCAUAAAAGAGCUUGCUCUUUUGAUGGCGAGUGGCGAACGGGUGAGUAAUGCAUCGGAACGUACCGAGUAGUGGGGGAUAACUGUCCGAAAGGAUGGCUAAUACCGCAUAUCCUCUGAGGAGGAAAGCAGGGGACCUUAGGGCCUUGCGCUAUUUGAGCGGCCGAUGUCUGAUUAGCUAGUUGGUGGGGUAAGAGCCCACCAAGGCGACGAUCGGUAGCGGGUCUGAGAGGAUGAUCCGCCACACUGGGACUGAGACACGGCCCAGACUCCUACGGGAGGCAGCAGUGGGGAAUUUUGGACAAUGGGCGCAAGCCUGAUCCAGCCAUGCCGCGUGUAUGAAGAAGGCCUUCGGGUUGUAAAGUACUUUUGUCAGGGAAGAAAAGCCUGAGGAUAACACCCUCAGGUCAUGACGGUACCUGAAGAAUAAGCACCGGCUAACUACGUGCCAGCAGCCGCGGUAAUACGUAGGGUGCGAGCGUUAAUCGGAAUUACUGGGCGUAAAGCGAGCGCAGACGGUUAUUUAAGCAAGAUGUGAAAGCCCCGGGCUCAACCUGGGAACUGCGUUUUGAACUGGGUAACUAGAGUGUGUCAGAGGGGGGUAGAAUUCCACGUGUAGCAGUGAAAUGCGUAGAGAUGUGGAGGAAUACCGAUGGCGAAGGCAGCCCCCUGGGAUAACACUGACGUUCAUGCUCGAAAGCGUGGGUAGCAAACAGG
rnacentral:rRNA from 1 species